CCUACGGGAGGCAGCAGUGGGGAAUAUUGGACAAUGGGCGAAAGCCUGAUCCAGCAAUGCCGCGUGGGUGAUGAAGGCCUUCGGGUCGUAAAGCCCUUUUCUGUGUGACGAGAACGGACGGUAGCACGGGAAAAAGUCUCGGCUAACUACGUGCCAGCAGCCGCGGUAAAACGUAGGAGGCAAGCGUUAUCCGGAGUUACUGGGCGUAAAGCGUGCGUAGGCGGAUGGGUAGGUGGGUCGUGAAAGCGCCGGGCUAAACCGGGCGAGGACGAUACAGACUGCUCGUCUAGAGGCGGAUAGAGGGGUGCGGAAUUCCGGGUGUAGCGGUGAAAUGUGUAGAGAUCCGGAGGAACACCAGUGGUGCAAACGGCGCCCUGGGUCCGAACUGACGCUGAGGCACGAAAGCGUGGGGAGCGAACGGGAUUAGAGACCCCGGUAGUCCACGCCGUAAACGAUGUCAACUAGGUGUCCACUGGGCUACGGUUCAGGGGGUGCCGAAGCUAACGCAAUAAGUUGACCGCCUGGGGAGUACGGUCGCAAGGCUAAAACUCAAAGGAAUUGACGGGGGCCCGCACAAGCAGCGGAGCGUGUGGUUUAAUUCGAGGCUGCACGAAGAACCUUACCUGGGUUUGACAUAGGCGUGGUAGGGAACCGAAAGGGGACCGACCUUCGGGAGCGUCUACAGGUGCUGCAUGGCUGUCCUCAGCUCGUGUCGUGAGAUGUUCGGUUAAGUCCGAAAACGAGCGCAACCCUCGGGUCUAGUUACACGUGUCUAGACCGACUGCCCGGGAGAACCGGGAGGAAGGUGGGGAUGACGUCAAGUCAGCAUGGUCUUUAUAUCCAGGGCUACACACACGCUACAAUGGGCGGUACACAGGUCGCGAAGCCGCGAGGUGGAGCCAAUCCCAAAAAGCCGUUCGUAGUUCGGAUUGCAGCUGCACUCGCCUGCAUGAAGCCUGAGUGCUAGUACCGCAGUCAGCCAUACGCGUGAAUACGUCCCGGAG
rnacentral:rRNA from 1 species